CCUACGGGUGGCAGCAGUGAGGAAUAUUGGUCAAUGGACGAGAGUCUGAACCAGCCAAGUAGCGUGAAGGAUGACUGCCCUAUGGGUUGUAAACUUCUUUUAUAUGGGAAUAAAUUGUUCCACGUGUGGGAUUUUGUAUGUACCAUAUGAAUAAGGAUCGGCUAACUCCGUGCCAGCAGCCGCGGUAAUACGGAGGAUCCGAGCGUUAUCCGGAUUUAUUGGGUUUAAAGGGAGCGUAGGUGGGUUGUUAAGUCAGUUGUGAAAGUUUGCGGCUCAACCGUAAAAUUGCAAUUGAUACUGGGAGUCUUGAGUACAGGUGAGGUAGGCGGAAUUCGUGGUGUAGCGGUGAAAUGCUUAGAUAGCAAGAAGAACCCCGAUGGCGAAGGCAGCAUACCGGCGCCCGACUGACGCUGAGGCACGAAAGCGUGGGUAUCGAACAGGAUUAGAUACCCGGGUAGUC
rnacentral:rRNA from 1 species